rnacentral:tRNA from 1 species
AUUCAUUUAGUUUAAAUAAACAUUUUAUUUUCAUUAAAAAGAAAGGAAAUUAUUCCUAAUGAAUU